AUUGAACGCUGGCGGCAGGCCUAACACAUGCAAGUCGAACGAGUGGCGGACGGGUGAGUAAUGUCUGGGAAACUGCCUGAUGGAGGGGGAUAACUACUGGAAACGGUAGCUAAUACCGCAUACCAUCGGAUGUGCCCAGCUGGGAUUAGCUAGUAGGUGGGGUAAAGGCUCACCUAGGCGACGAUCCCUAGCUGGUCUGAGAGGAUGACCAGCCACACUGGAACUGAGACACGGUCCAGACGCCUACGGGAGGCAGCAGUGGGGAAUAUUGCACAAUGGGCGAAAACCUGAAGCAUCCAUGCCGCGUGGAUGAAGAAGGCAUGCGGGUUGUAAAGUACUUUCAGCGGGGAGGCGUGACCCUAAGAAGAAGAACCGGAUAACGCCGUGCCAGCAGCCGCGGUAAUUC
rnacentral:rRNA from 1 species